UUUUAAAGAACUAUUUUUAAAUAUUAACGUUUCUUUGGGUGGCUUGGUAUGGAAAUAUAAUGUGAUUAUUGAGCCUGUUGAGGCGAGUUAAUAAUAUUUAGUCCAGUUCACAAUUAUUAAAAUUAUACAAAUUUUUAAAAGUGGCAGUUAAAAAAUUAACUUAUAUUUAUUACAAUAAAUUAUAAAAUCAUGUAUUUCAUGUAUUAGAAUCAUCCAAUAUCAUACUGAACUGAAAUGAUAAAGAAUAAUGUACUGUAAAAGACAAAGUACAUAAACGGUUUUCCUAUUUUCUUAAUGACACAAAUGCUAAAGUGCAGGAUUGUUCGAAGAAGAUUUCACUAAGAAAUAAUAAUAAUCCUUAUAAUGACAGAUUUAUAGCGUUGAAUUCAACAAGUUUGAAAAAAAGACGAAAGCGUAGUGGCUUAAUUUAAAUGAUUGAAUUAGGUACCCUAAGAAGUCCUAACGGUCUUG